GAGCAUCACCUGGGGCAUCAGCCAUGAUUAUGUCGGCAAUAAUUAUGUGGAUGUCCCGGGGCUCUACAUUUCUGAUAGAGCUUAAAUAACAUUCUCUUGAGCCUUUUUGGUCACCUCUCAUCGUUGCCACCCCAUUUUCAGUCGGGAACUUCAUGCAUAGGUGGUGGAUGGAGGUGACUACUCCCAAUUCUUUUAGGGCUUGCCUACCCAAUACUCCGUAGUAGGCCGAUCGACUGUUGACAACAAGGAAUUCCAUGAAGUUCAUUAUAGUUUGGGGAGACUCCCC
rnacentral:lncRNA from 1 species